rnacentral:lncRNA from 1 species
UUGUAACUUAACCUGGUUAAUUGUUAGAGCAUUUUAAUUUCUAAUUUUCAAAUAGGGUUUUAAAUAAUAAUAGCAAUAAUAAUAAUAAUAUAAACAAAGAAUAAUUCAUCGGUAGUUCAAAACUUCAAAAAAAAUAUGUAAAAAUCAUAUGAGAAUCUCAAAUUUUGAAAUGUUCUUAUAUUAUUUAUUAUUCUGUAUUUAUAAAUUAUUAGAUAACUUUUGUUGUUUAUUGUUUUUGAGAGUCCUAUUGAGAUAAGAUGUUAGUAUAGAAAAAGAAAUAAAUUAUCUUUAUUUUU